rnacentral:tRNA from 1 species
GGCGUAGCCAAGCGGUAAGGCAACGGACUUUGACUCCGUCAUGCGCUGGUUCGAGUCCAGCCGC